UGGGGAAUUUUGGACAAUGGGCGAAAGCCUGAUCCAGCAAUGCCGCGUGUGUGAAGAAGGCCUUCGGGUUGUAAAGCACUUUUGUCCGGAAAGAAAUCCUUGGCUCUAAUACAGUCGGGGGAUGACGGUACCGGAAGAAUAAGCACCGGCUAACUACGUGCCAGCAGCCGCGGUAAUACGUAGGGUGCAAGCGUUAAUCGGAAUUACUGGGCGUAAAGCGUGCGCAGGCGGUUUGCUAAGACCGAUGUGAAAUCCCCGGGCUCAACCUGGGAACUGCAUUGGUGACUGGCAGGCUAGAGUAUGGCAGAGGGGGGUAGAAUUCCACGUGUAGCAGUGAAAUGCGUAGAGAUGUGGAGGAAUACCGAUGGCGAAAGGCAGCCCCCUGGGCCAAAUACUGACGCUCAUGCACGAAAGCGUGGGGAGCAAAACAGGAUUAGAUACCCUGGUAGUCCACGCCCUAAACGAUGUCAACUAGUUGUUGGGGAUUCAUUUCCUUAGUAACGUAGCUAACGCGUGAAGUUGACCGCCUGGGGAGUACGGUCGCAAGAUUAAAACUCAAAGGAAUUGACGGGGUCAUAGCUGUUUCCU
rnacentral:rRNA from 1 species